AAGUCGUAACAAGGUUUCCGUAGGUGAACCUGCGGAAGGAUCAUUACAAAUAAAGCUGGUAGGAAGUGGGGGUCUUGAUCUGUAGGUGGUAGGAGCACAAGUCAGGCCUGGCCUCCGCUAACCGAAAUGCUUACAUUAGAUCCCGUCCCACAGCCUGAAGGCCGAAUUACAACCCUUGAUUAUCUACACUUGUUGCUUUGGGGUGCUCAAGUGCCCCAGAGGACCCAACUCUCUUGCAUUUAGUGACGUCUGAGUACUAUAUAAUAUUUAAAA
rnacentral:misc_RNA from 1 species